rnacentral:rRNA from 1 species
AAGGUAAUAAGAGCAUACGGUGGAUGCCUAGGCUCUCAGAGGCUACGAAGGACGUGAUAAGCUGCGAAAAGCUGUGGCGAGCUGCAAAUUAGCAUUGACCCGCAGAUGUCCGAAUGGGGCAACCCAGCAGGUUGAAGACCUGUUUUUAGCGAACGCGGGGAACUGAAACAUCUAAGUACCCGUAGGAAAAGAAAUCGAAGAGAUUCCCUAAGUAGUGGCGAGCGAAACGGGAUUAGCCUAAAGCACAAGAUUAGUAGAAGUGUCUGGAAAGUCACACCAAAGAAGGUGAAAGUCCUGUAAACGACAAUUGAAGUGUGGAAUUAAGUAGGGCGGGACACGUGAAAUCCUGUUUGAAGAUGGGCAGACCAUUGUCCAAGGCUAAAUACUCCUGAGAGACCGAUAGCGAACAAGUACCGUGAGGGAAAGGUGAAA